UUGGGCGUAAAGCGCGCGCAGGCGGAUUGGUCAGUCUGUCUUAAAAGUUCGGGGCUUAACCCCGUGAUGGGAUGGAAACUGCCAAUCUAGAGUAUCGGAGAGGAAAGUGGAAUUCCUAGUGUAGCGGUGAAAUGCGUAGAUAUUAGGAAGAACACCAGUGGCGAAGGCGACUUUCUGGACGAAAACUGACGCUGAGGCGCGAAAGCCAGGGGAGCGAACGGGAUUAGAUACCCCGGUAGUCCUGGCCGUAAACGAUGGGUACUAGGUGUAGGAGGUAUCGACCCCUUCUGUGCCGGAGUUAACGCAAUAAGUACCCCGCCUGGGGAGUACGACCGCAAGGUUGAAACUCAAAGGAAUUGACGGGGGCCCGCACAAGCGGUGGAGUAUGUGGUUUAAUUCGACGCAACGCGAAGAACCUUACCAGGUCUUGACAUUGAUGGACAGAACUAGAGAUAGUUCCUCUUCUUCGGAAGCCAGAAAACAGGUGGUGCACGGUUGUCGUCAGCUCGUGUCGUGAG
rnacentral:rRNA from 1 species